GGGCAAUUGGCACAGUGGUAGCGCGCACGCUUCGCAUAUAAUUGUAGUAUAUUCCUUGCGUGAGGUCCAGGGUUCAAUCCCCUGAUUGUCCA